rnacentral:misc_RNA from 1 species
CGUGCCUUUUCUAUUCUCACCACUGCAGGACUCUCAUAGCCUCAGUCAUCACCACCACGAACCCCCCCCCUCUCAUACACGUCGUGCUUGACGGCCUACAUUACACCCUCUCCCUUUCCUUCCUCUCGUUAUUUCCACCCCUCUCCCCGCCUUGACCCUCGGCCCUCGAUGGAGCUCACAAAAAAGCAGGUGAAGAUCCCGCCCAUCCACAAGCUGCGGCCAGGUUGGUCUGCAGUGGCGCUGCACACAGUCAUUUAUCUUCUCCGCCACGACUUCGUCACAGCCAUUGUUGCCACUUUUGUUGUGCAGCCGCUGUACCACCGGCUGAUUCUGCAGAGUACCUAUCUGCAGCGGCUCUCUGACCCCGCCCUCUUCACGCUGGUUUUUGCGGUGCUCUGUCACUGCGUUCCGUGGGCCUUCUUCAACGGCAUCUUCCUCUUCUUUGACAGCCUCCACCCCCAGUAUGGGAUCGAGGGCCUCAGAAACAACGCCCUGCUGGCCCCGCUUGGCCGCAGAAUGGCAAUGUACAAGCUUCCCCGGAAGCCGCAGCAGCUGCCAUCAGCAGCGCUCAUCUUCAGCACCAUGUUACACACCGCGUUCAAUCACUAUCUGGUUAUUCCAGUUGUGCUCUAUGCGUACCUGGUGCACACAAACUCAUGCGCUCUGCGCGCCCCACCGCCGGAGACGGUGAUUGUCGGCUUCACACCAGAAGACGUAGUCAACUACAUGAGCGGUCGCAACCUGAAGCAAAUUCCGAUUAGCCUGGUCACCAUCACGUCGCACUUCCUGAUCGCCAACGUAAUUAACGAGAUGGGCUUCUACAUUGUCCACAGCAUCCUGCAUUCGAGCCCCACGCUGUACCGUCUGUUUCACAAGAAGCAUCACAUGUACACGGGCACCAUAAGCAUCGCUGCAGAAUACGCCACGCCGUUGGAGGAGAUUCUCGCAAAUGCAAUCCCCACUACUGCGUACUUCGCGUUUAUGUUUUUCCACUACACGCGCGAGGAAGCAUCGAAGUCGAGCUUCGUCACCUCAGCGCGGGCGUGGCCUCUCUUUAUUACGUGGAUGUGGGCGCGCCUCUGGGAGACAUACGAGGUGCAUAGCGGUUACUGUUUCAGCGACACGUGGCUGGGCAAGCUUGGCCUACUGCAUGGGCACCGUGCCCGCUUCCACGACUUCCACCAUACGCACAACGUCUGCAACUACGGCAGCGGCCUCUUCAUGGACGCGCUGCUCAAUACGAUGGAUCCAUACCUGAUCUACCGCUACCCAGACAAGCACCCGCGCACGACGACGCUGAGGGAAGAGGAUUUGAAGGAGCCGCGCGAUCUGCAAGCGGGCAGUGAAGCGAUGGACCAGGUGCGCGCGUGUUCGUAAAGGUGCUCAGGCACGAACGACUUCACGGGCAACAUAAAGUCUGCUGUUGCCCGAGUAUUGAACCUUCCGGGCUCACUUUCUGUUUUUGUUGCGUUUUUCUUUGUCUACAGAGGCAAUGCUCACAGAGUCCUCCGGUAGUUUUUGUAGCUGAUCUCCUUUUCUCCUGAUGAUGCCGGCCACCCGACCGUGGUAUCGGGGUAGAGUGCCCACACUGUAGGACCGCCACGAGCCUGCACCGCCUGCCCUCGGGUACGGCUGCGGACUCCUGGUGCCGGCAGACAAGUCUGGGCUGGCGCUGUGCCAAAGAGACUUGCGGCCAUGAUGAGGAUUGGACCAGCUCACUCCGAGCUGUGCCGACGCUCCGGCAAAUAUGCGCAUCCGUCUGCUGCUUUUUUUUCUCCGUGUGCUUCGUUGCGGUGAUGUCGGGCUUAAUCCUGUGCCUAGCCGAUGUUUUUGGUGCUCUCACUCACCGCUCUCGACCCAAAUGGCCAUCCUCAGUCUUUCACUCGUCCUCGCUGUGUGCUAUCUUCCUUUCGCUUGUAUCUUCUCACGUCCUCUAACUCACGCAG